rnacentral:rRNA from 1 species
UACGUAGGGUGCGAGCGUUGUCCGGAAUUAUUGGGCGUAAAGGGCUCGUAGGCGGUUUGUCGCGUCGGGAGUGAAAACUCAGGGCUUAACCCUGAGCCUGCUUCCGAUACGGGCAGACUAGAGGUAUGCAGGGGAGAACGGAAUUCCUGGUGUAGCGGUGAAAUGCGCAAAUAUCAGGAGGAACACCGGUGGCGAAGGCGGUUCUCUGGGCAUUACCUGACGCUGAGGAGCGAAAGUGUGGGGAGCGAACAGG